GGGGAAUAUUGGACAAUGGGCGAAAGCCUGAUCCAGCAAUGCCGCGUGUGUGAAGAAGGCCUUCGGGUUGUAAAGCACUUUUGUCCGGAAAGAAAUCCUCUGGGUUAAUACCUCGGGGGAUGACGGUACCGGAAGAAUAAGCACCGGCUAACUACGUGCCAGCAGCCGCGGUAAUACGUAGGGUGCAAGCGUUAAUCGGAAUUACUGGGCGUAAAGCGUGCGCAGGCGGUUUUGUAAGACGGAUGUGAAAUCCCCGGGCUUAACCUGGGAACUGCAUUCGUGACUGCAAGGCUAGAGUAUGGCAGAGGGGGGUAGAGUUCCACGUGUAGCAGUGAAAUGCGUAGAGAUGUGGAGGAAUACCGAUGGCGAAGGCAGCCCUCUGGGCCAAUACUGACGCUCAUGCACGAAAGCGUGGGGAGCAAACA
rnacentral:rRNA from 1 species